UAAAUGUCAAUUUUUAAAAUUCUGAAAGUUGACGACUUAUUCCCCUAGUAGACAGUUCGUCCACAGACACACAGUGGUGAAUGACAUUGAAGUGACUCAGUUGCUCUAUGACUUUUCCAGGAGCCAGGGAGAUGUGACCUCAGUUAGGGUAUUGAUAACAAACUGAAGAAAUGAUUCCACUUAAAUCAAUAGUUUUAUUACAGAACCUUACAUGGGUGGCUCAUAGCCAACAGUAGUACCAAGAAAGCCCAAUCUAGCAUAGGGGCGGACUCACAGAACUUGCAUCCCCAGUUGUGCCCUGUUGUGCCAGCUAACAGGCAGCUCCACAGAGAUGACUCCUAUAUAUACCCUAGCAAUUGUUUGUUGCUUAUAUAAGCUUGGGAGGAUGACUUGUGAAUCUUGCAGCCUUUGAAUCUUCUAGAGAAUUUCAGUGUAUUGAGUUUCCUGAGCCUGGUAAGAUACAUUCCUAGCUUCCCAUAUUUAAUGAACCUUCAGUCUUGGUCUAGCAUGGAGUGUUUCAAUUUGAGAGAAGAAACUAUGGAGUACCAAUCCCCACUCCCAAACUCUAUGACAGGGAAGCUAAUGAUUUGUUUAUAACAAGCCAAGACAUAGGUAUAUUAUUAUUUUAGAAGAUUUUUUUUUCAUUUGUGUGUGUAUGCGUGUGUGCAUGUGUGUGUGUGUGUGUAUGUGUAUGUGUCUGUUCAUGUGCUUGCCAGGACUUGUGUGAGGAGGUAAGGAACAAGGCAUUGGCAGCUUUGGGAUUCCAUUCUCUUCUUGUACUAUGAGUGUCUGGUGAUCAAAUCCAGGCUGGCAGGUUAGCAGUGAGCACCUUUAUUUGCUGAGCCAUUUUGCAGUCCUUGAAAAAUGUCUUUAAUCUUAAUUUUACUGGAUUUAAACAAUAAUAUUAAGCAUUUUUAUGACUCUUGUAAUACACAUAAGGCAUAAAAUGCCAUUAACUUCUAACGCACAGGAGUUGGAAAACUGAGUUUCUUCAGAAUUCUACUAGAUGAAUUGAAGAACACAAUUCUUUCUUUGUGACUGAAAAAUACCAGUGAAAUGGAUACUAAACUCAACAAGGUAACAUAAAGAGAGAGAAGUCAGUAAAUGGAAGGAUUCUAGAUAGAGGCAGAUCAAGGGGUUGUUUUCUAACUUCAUUGCUAUAUCUCUUGGGUUUGAGACAGAAUCAAAAAGUUUUCAGAUGCAGAUUUCUGCCAUUUUGAGUACACUGCCACCAGGAAGCCUAUCAUAUAAUAGAAACCUCAUUCUCUAAUCUCCCAACAGAGAGAAAAAACCAUUGCUACUCAGCGAAUCAAGGGAUUUGGUGUGGAGAACCCAGUCCUUCCUGAGAGUCCUCCAGCAUCCAUGUCUUCAGUUAUGAAGAACAACCCGUUGUAUGGUGACAUAACUUUGGAAGAAGCUAUGGAAGAAAGGAAAAAGAGUCCUUCAUGGACCAUUGAGGAGUAUGACAAGCAUUCUGUGCAUACAAAUCUCUCUGGACAUCUGAAGGUGUGUGUACUAAGGAUGGUCUCCAACGGAUGAGGUAGACCAGUUGACCGGAACCUAGAAAGCAGUGGUGGAAUGGCAGGAGUCCCUCAGCGAAUACACAAUCUCCAGACCACAGAUCCUUUUCAUCCUUGAAAUUAUUUCUUUCCCAGCCAAUAUGAGAGGUUACUUAUUUGUUUCAUAUUUUGCACAAGCCAAUGGCAUCUGUAGAGAGAAGAAAGAUGAAGUAGCAAUGACCAAAGGUCUCCUGAGAAGAUAAAAGUACUUUUUAAAAAUUAAUCUGUAAGGUCACAUAUGUUUUCUCUACUUUGUAAUCUUGUGUUUAGACUCAUUAUCACUUAGGAAUAAGCUUCUUACUCUACAUUUUUCUAAAACCACUUACAAAGUGAUUGGAGCUUAAGCACCAGGCAAGGAAUCCCUUAACAAUGAUGUUUUAUUAGCAUUCCCAGUCCAUUGAAUGAUUUAAAAUAGCAGGUUUACAUCUUGAUCAUUUUUUCUUGUGUCUCCAAACAAAACAAAACAGUUCACCAGGGAGAAGUAUGCAGUGAACUCACUCACCCCGCUUGUGAUUUUUCUUCCCCCACUUUUUCUUUUUGCUCUCUGAUGUCACCCACACAGAAGACUCAAAUAUCUGAAAACCAGAAUGGAUCUUCCCUUGUCUGAAAAGACAAAAUUCCUGAUCAGCCUUGGCUUGCCUCCACCUGCCUCAAGCCAGAAAGGGCUGAUAUCUCCCAAAUACCUUUCAUUUAAAAAUGUGUGUCUGGUCUAGGUUCAUACCUUAACUGCCUGAAGUGAAUCACUUUUUUUUUUUUUUUUUGAUAGGGACAGUACCGUAGACUUUCAUAUCCUGCACACAAGUUUUAAAACCUUGAGUGUGUCUUCCUUGAAAUACAUCAUGGUCUAGAAUCCCUGACAGCUCUUAAUCCCCCUGUUUGGAGGUAUCCCCUCUUUAGUUCCUUUCUGAGCAGUUGCCAAAAGACAACAAUGCCUUUCUUUCUGUCUUCUUUGUUUUGGUUUAAUCUCCUGUUUCUUACCAAAGACUUCAAAUCAUUAAGCCUAUUAUUGGGUAAAAAUGCAUUGAUUUAUUUCACACACAGUCACUUGGUGCCUGCCCUCUUGCCUUUGCUGUGUGCAUGGCUGACAGAGGGGUCUGUGGAGACAGAUGCUGCAUCCCUGUCUGCGCACAAAUCCACCUAACCGAUUAGACAGAGAUAGCUCAUCUGACUUAAGACUGUGACUUCAUGUGACAAUUAAAAAAAAAUCACAUUUUAUCAAAAGUUUUUUUUGUUUUUUGUUUUUUAAGUUUGGAUCUCAGACUUAGACAAUUCAAGAUUAUUAGCAAUAGGAAAGUUUUUUUUUCUUUCUUUCAAGUUAAAUGUACAUGAUCAAACAGAAAUCUAAUGGGUAUGCCGUGUUACUGACACUGAGUGUCCCUCAUGUAGCUGACCCUCUGUGCAUGCACAUACUCCUCACAGCAGCUGUAUUCUUACGCAGUGUGCUGGCCCCUUGGUGCACAUUCUUAAGUGUUAAUUUGCACAGGAAUCUUAUGAAAAGUUGUGCAUCCCGCCCUCAUUAUGAUUCUUGAUAUCAGCUUCUUUUGUCAUUAAGAGCUUUAGAUCACAAAAGAUAAAAGUAAUGUUACACUUAAUUACCAGUGCGAGCCAAAGUGAGGCUGUGAGAGGGCAUUGUCUCUAUUAGGGAAGCCAUUGGUGAAAAAG
rnacentral:lncRNA from 1 species